rnacentral:tRNA from 1 species
GGCAGCGUAGCUCAGUCGGUAGAGCAGAGGACUCAUAAGCCUCGGGUCGUGGGUUCGAAUCCCUCCGCUGCCA